UAAAAGAUAUCAAUUAUUUCUUCAGGAAUUGAAACAACAAGGGAUACAAGAAGAAAGGCUGCAGCUGCUUGUUAAUGUUACUGGAGCUUUUAGGCCUGGAGUGUUGACAACAUUGGUUGGAGUAAGCGGGGCUGGAAAAACCAUGCUAAUGGAUGUCUUGGCUGGAAGAAAAACUGGAGGUGUUGUGAAGCCGCUCUGCUGGCCAUGCUGGGAAACCUGCAGUUAGAUGGACUGAGAUACAAAGCUGGUUUGAGGAUAGGCUCCAAGACUUACCAGAUGACCCUAAUAAUGAAUUGAUGAUUCCCGAAGACCCUGAAUGUAAUAAGGAAGGUGAGCUCUCUUGAAUGCCUAAGGUUCUUAGCGUAGCUUGUGCUUGUGCUUUGCUCGAGCAGUGCCUAUCACUGCUGCUUAAGUAUGCUGUAGCCAAUGUAAUUUCUGUUAA